UAGAAUAGAGCACUAUGUCAUCGGCAUAUUGUAAAAUUGAUAUAUAAUCUGGCAAAUUAGAACUAAGGUCGUAAGUAUAUACAUUAAAAAGCAAGGGGCUUAGAACAGAACCCUGUGGUAGUCCUUUCCAAACUGUUCUGUGAAAUACUUUAUCACCUAAAUCUAACCUAAUCGUCCGUUCAUAAAACAUAGCAGCAAUAAUAUUACACAAGCGUUCAGGAACUCCCAAGAGGAACAACUUAUUUACAAGAAUUGAUAUAUUUACAUUAUCAUAGGCCGAAUUGAUAUCUAUAAAACAAGCUACUACAUAUUCCCGUUUCGAGAAGGCUGAAAGAAUAUCAGAAACUAACAAACCCACACAGUCUAAAGUGCUUCGGCUUUUGCGAAAACCAUAUUGAAUAUCGGGUAAUAAUUUCUUACUCUCAAUAAACCACUCCAACCUAUUUUUAACUAAAUGUUCUAAAAUCUUAAUUAAAACAGAAGAUAACGCAAUUGGACGAUAAGAAUUUGAAUCAUUACGGGGUUUAUUCGGUUUGAGAAAUGGUAACACCAACUGUAUUUUCCAAUUUGGUGGAAUGUCACCUGUCAUAAAAAUCCCGUUGAUAAUAUUAAGAAAGUAACCUAUAACCUUUUCACUAGAAUGUUUCAAAAAUGAAUAUGGAAUACCAUCGCAUCCUGGUGCAGAAUCAAUAACAUAUGAUAAAACGUUCUUUAGCUCCAGUAACGAAAAUGGACUAUUAAAACGCUGCACGUUAUCAUUAUUGGACGGGGAAGCCGAUUCAGGACACACAGGGAAUGGGACAAAUGGGGGAGCUAAUUUAUCUAAAAAUUUCUCAGCUACUGGAGGCUCAAGAUUGAUGGCGUUAUUUUCUACAAAAGCUCCUCUAAACAUUCUAACUUUUCUCCAAACUUCUGACGGCUUCUGAACAUUCAGAAUCCCACCAUGGAGGACUGGGAAUAUUAAAUUUAGAGGACUUCUUACGUGGAAAUACUUCAUCAGCUAUAUCAAUUAAAAACUUAGCAAAAGCAUCAGAAGUUUUAAACAAAUGUUCCCGAGAUACAUCAGGUAAUUCACUCAACCUCUCAUCCAUAUGUUUGCGAAACUUAUCCCAAUCUGCAUUUUGAAGUUUAUAUGCUAACAGUGGAGAUCUUUUAAGUACUGGUUUAUUUUUAAUAGGAAAAGAAAUAAGAAUUGGAAAAUGAUCACUGCCGUAGGAAAGUGGAAGUACCUCCCACAGUAAGGAAUGUGAAAUGGAAGAACUACAAAUUGAUAAAUCUAAUGCACUAGGAUUCUCAUUGGGAGCAGACCGACGUGUGGGAACACCAGAAUUCAAUAUACAUAAAUUAUAAUAAUCAA